UACGGGGGGGGCAAGCGUUGUUCGGAAUUACUGGGCGUAAAGGGCUCGUAGGCGGCCAACUAAGUCAGACGUGAAAUCCCUCGGCUUAACCGGGGAACUGCGUCUGAUACUGGAUGGCUUGAGGUUGGGAGAGGGAUGCGGAAUUCCAGGUGUAGCGGUGAAAUGCGUAGAUAUCUGGAGGAACACCGGUGGCGAAGGCGACAUCCUGGACCAAUUCUGACGCUGAGGAGCGAAAGCCAGGGGAGCAAACGGG
rnacentral:rRNA from 1 species